AUGGCCUGGGCCCCUCUCCUCCUCCUGUGCCUCUGCCACUUGUCAGGUUCCCUGUCCCAGCCUGUGCUGACCCAGCCGCCCUCCCUCUCUGCAUCUCUUGGAGCAUCAGCCAGGCUCACCUGCACCCUGAGCAGUGGCACUGUUGUUGGCGGCUAUCACAUAUCCUGGUACCAGCAGAAGCCAGGGGGCCCUCCCAGGUAUCUCCUGAGAUACUACUCAGACUCGGACAAGCACCAGGGCUCCGGGGUCCCCAGCCACUUCUCUGGCUCCAAAGACGCCUCGGCCAACGCAGGGAUUCUGCACGUCUCUCGGCUGCAGCCUGAGGACGAGGCUGACUAUUACUGUAUGACAUAUCAUGCCAACAGUGGCACUUACACAGUGCUCUAG